rnacentral:rRNA from 1 species
UACAGAGGUCCCAAGCGUUGUUCGGAUUCACUGGGCGUAAAGGGUGCGUAGGUGGCAGGGUAAGUUUGGUGUGAAAUCUCCCGGCUCAACUGGGAGGGUGCGCCGAAGACUGGAAGGCUUGAGUAUGGGAGAGGUAAGCGGAAUUCCUGGUGUAGCGGUGAAAUGCGUAGAUAUCAGGAGGAACACCUGCGGUGUAGACGGCUUACUGGACCAUAACUGACGCUGAGGCACGAAAGCGUGGGUAGCAAACAGG